CCUACGGGAGGCAGCAGUAGGGAAUUUUCGGCAAUGGGGGGAACCCUGACCGAGCAACGCCGCGUGAACGAAGAAGUUAUUCGUAAUGUAAAGCUCUUUUAACAGGGAAGAAAGAGAAAUUUGACGGUACCUGAAGAAUAAGCUCCGGCUAACUACGUGCCAGCAGCCGCGGUAAUACGUAGGCAGCGAGCGUUAUCCGGAAUUAUUGGGCGUAAAGGGUGCGUAGAGGGCAUAGUAAGUCUUUUGUAAAAAUGCUGGGCUCAACCCAGUAGGGCAAAAGAUACUGCAAAGCUAGAGUAUGACAGAGGCAAGUGGAACUACAUGUGUAGCGGUAAAAUGCGUAGAUAUAUGUAAGAACACCAGUGGCGAAGGCGGCUUGCUGGGUCGAUACUGACGUUGAGGCACGAAAGCGUGGGGAGCAAACAGGAUUAGAUACCCGGGUAGUC
rnacentral:rRNA from 1 species